GGCGAACGCUGGCGGCGUGCUUAACACAUGCAAGUCGAACGGAAAGGCCCUGCUUGCAGGGUGCUCGAGUGGCGAACGGGUGAGUAACACGUGGGUGAUCUGCCCCUUACUUUGGGAUAAGCCUGGGAAACUGGGUCUAAUACUGGAUAGGACCAUGCUGUAGGUGGUGUGGUGGAAAGAUUAGUUUCGGUAAGGGAUGAGCUCGCGGCCUAUCAGCUUGUUGGUGGGGUAAUGGCCUACCAAGGCGUCGACGGGUAGCCGGCCUGAGAGGGUGGACGGCCACAUUGGGACUGAGAUACGGCCCAGACUCCUACGGGAGGCAGCAGUGGGGAAUAUUGCACAAUGGGCGCAAGCCUGAUGCAGCGACGCCGCGUGGGGGAUGACGGCCUUCGGGUUGUAAUCUCCUUUCAGCCAUGACGAAGCCCUUGUGGUGACGGUAGUGGUAGAAGAAGCACCGGCUAACUACGUG
rnacentral:rRNA from 1 species